UAACACAUGCAAGUCGAGGGGCAGCAUAUCGCUUCGGUGAUGACGGCAACCUGGCGCACGGGUGAGUAACACGUUUGCAACCUACCCUUAACUGGAGGAUAGCCCGGAGAAAUCCGGAUUAAUACUCCGUAAUAUCCUUGCACGGCAUCGUGCUUUGAUUAAAGCUCCGGCGGUUAAGGAUGGGCAUGCGGGACAUUAGUUCGUUGGUGAGGUAAAGGCUCACCAAGACUACGAUGUCUAUGGGGUCUGAGAGGAUGAUCCCACACACUGGUACUGAGACACGGACCAGACUCCUACGGGAGGCAGCAGUGAGGAAUAUUGGUCAAUGGACGCAAGUCUGAACCAGCCAUGCCGCGUGCAGGAUGACAGCCCUAUGGGUUGUAAACUGCUUUUAUACAGGAAGAAACCCUUCUACGUGUAGAAGGCUGACGGUACUGUAACGAAUAAGCAUCGGCUAACUCCGUGCCAGCAGCCGCGGUAAUACGGAGGAUGCAAGCGUUAUCCGGAUUCAUUUGGGUUUAAAAGGGGUGCGUAGAGCGGGGCAGUAA
rnacentral:rRNA from 1 species